rnacentral:rRNA from 1 species
AACCAGCACCUCAAGUGGUCAGGAUGAUUAUUGGGCCUAAAGCAUCCGUAGCCGGCUCUGUAAGUUUUCGGUUAAAUCUGUACGCUCAACGUACAGGCUGCCGGGAAUACUGCAGAGCUAGGGAGUGGGAGAGGUAGACGGUACUCGGUAGGAAGGGGUAAAAUCCUUUGAUCUAUUGAUGACCACCUGUGGCGAAGGCGGUCUACCAGAACACGUCCGACGGUGAGGGAUGAAAGCUAGGGGAGCAAACCGG